rnacentral:misc_RNA from 1 species
CUGGAAUCGCAAGAUCCCACAACCCCUGUGAACCUACCGAAACGUUGCCCUCGGCGGGUGCCCGGCCCUGCGCCGGGCGCUGCGCCCGCCGGCGGCCCCCUACUCUUGUCUCUGCAGCGUGGCAUCUCAGAGUCCCAGAAAACAAGUCA